GGCAACCUGCCCACAAGACAGGGAUAACUACCGGAAACGGUAGCUAAUACCCGAUACAUCCUUUUCCUGCAUGGGAGAAGGAGGAAAGGCGGAGCAAUCUGUCACUUGUGGAUGGGCCUGCGGCGCAUUAGCUAGUUGGUGGGGUAAAGGCCUACCAAGGCGACGAUGCGUAGCCGACCUGAGAGGGUGAUCGGCCACACUGGGACUGAGACACGGCCCAGACUCCUACGGGAGGCAGCAGUAGGGAAUCUUCCGCAAUGGGCGAAAGCCUGACGGAGCAACGCCGCGUGAGUGAUGAAGGUUUUCGGAUCGUAAAGCUCUGUUGCCAGGGAAGAACGUCUUAUAGAGUAACUGCUACAAGAGUGACGGUACCUGAGAAGAAAGCCCCGGCUAACUACGUGCCAGCAGCCGCGGUAAUACGUAGGGGGCAAGCGUUGUCCGGAAUUAUUGGGC
rnacentral:rRNA from 1 species